GGGUCAGUAGGCUGGUCGUGCCAACGGUACGUACUGGUCUCACUGAUUCCUCCUUCCUGAAGAACCGUAAUGCCAUUAAUUUGGUGUUGCGGGGAAACAGGACUGUUACUUUGAAAAAAUUAGAGUGUUUAAAGCAAUCUAACGCUUGAAUACAUUAGCAUGGAAUAAUGAAAUAGGACGAUAGAUCCUAUUUUGUUGGUUUCUAGGAUUGACGUA
rnacentral:rRNA from 1 species